AUGCUGACCCCCUGGGUUUUCCUUCUGUCUUUUGCUUGGGUUUAUGGAGAUUCCUGGAUAUCUCAGGACCAGCUGUCCUUUACCCGAAGACCCAACAAGACGGUGCACAUAAGCUGCAAGCUCUCUGGGGUCCCCCUUCAGAACACCAUUGUGCACUGGUACCAACUGAAAGAAGGGGAGCCCCUGAAACGAAUCUUCUAUGGCUCAGCCAAGGCUUACAUACAAGACAAGCCCAACUCCCGCUUGGAAACAGAUGAGAAGAGUGAUGGCACCUUUUACCUGAUAAUCAACAAUGUUAUCACCACAGAUGAGGCCACAUACUACUGUGCGUGCUGGGAUCUCACGGUGUCUCAUCAUCUGAAGGAACCUGUAAGAAAACCUUCUUAUCACUGCUCCUCAGCUGCACUCACAGUCCCUAAACCACUGAGGACCCUCAGGGCUCACAUUCACAGGUUCAUAGGUAUUGGGACUGGGUGGGUCCUUGGGACUCCUUUUCUUCAGAGCUGUCACUGCAAAUGA